GUGAUAUUGACUGAGGUGGGGCUUGCCAUGUUCUCGAAAGUACGGAGUUUUUCAUAUUUUUAAAUUAUCUUCGAUGUUUAGACUUUCGAAUUAACGAUUAGUUUCGUUAGAUUUAAUUUAGUAUAUUUGAAGUCUUUAGAAAAAAAUAUUUUGCGAUUUUUUGAUAUUAUUUGUCUGGCGAUCGAAGGAGCACAAAAUCAAUAGUUUUAAUGAUCGUGGUGAGUCGUUUGCAAGUUUAACGGUGUAGAAAUAUUCAAAUUACGUAAAAUUUUAAUCGAAAAUUCUUUAUACUAUAUAAAACAAUAUCAAUAUUUUCGAUCUAAAAUUUUUAUUUUCAGUCAUUCAUUUUGAGCCCCUUCGAUCACUAAACAAAUGAUAUCGAAAAAUCGUAAAAUUUAUUUUCUAGAUACUUCAAAUACUCUAAAUCAAAUCCAACGGAACCGAUCGUCGAUUCGAAAGUCCCAACAUAAAAGACAAUUUGGAAGCACGAAAGGCUCCGUACUUCCAGAAGCAUAUCAGCCUCACUCAUAUUGACUGUAUAAUAU
rnacentral:lncRNA from 1 species